rnacentral:rRNA from 1 species
GAUGAACGCUGGCGGCGUGCCUAAUACAUGCAAGUCGAGCGAACUGAUUAGAAGCUUGCUUCUAUGACGUUAGCGGCGGACGGGUGAGUAACACGUGGGCAACCUGCCUGUAAGACUGGGAUAACUUCGGGAAACCGAAGCUAAUACCGGAUAGGAUCUUCUCCUUCAUGGGAGAUGAUUGAAAGAUGGUUUCGGCUAUCACUUACAGAUGGGCCCGCGGUGCAUUCGCUGGUUGGUGAGGUAACGGCUCACCAAGGCAACGAUGCAUAGCCGACCUGAGAGGGUGAUCGGCCACACUGGGACUGAGACACGGCCCAGACUCCUACGGGAGGCAGCAGUAGGGAAUCUUCCGCAAUGGACGAAAGUCUGACGGAGCAACGCCGCGUGAGUGAUGAAGGCUUUCGGGUCGUAAAACUCUGUUGUUAGGGGAGAACAAGUACGAGAGUAACUGCUCGUACCUUGACGGUACCUAACCAGAAAGCCACGGCUAACUACGUGCCAGCCGCCGCAGUAACAC